CCCCCAAAAAAAAAAAAAGAGUUAGGAAAGAUGGUAUUCUGAGCCCUAUGCGUCUCUCUCGUCUUUCCAUUAAUCUCAAUUUAAAAAAAAUACACAUCAGUUGGGUAGUUAUGCUUCUGCUUGAGGUUAUUAUUUAUGACAUUUUGUUCAUUAACUUCUACGCGCACAAUAUGUAUAUACUGUAUGAACUGUUGUGCUUCCAAUGUUAAGGGUGUAAUGAAGUCCUUAUACAUUAAAUGAUGUUGGGAUUAGUUUGCAUUAUUUAUUCCUUUUUGUAUAUGAGUUUAUUAGCAAAUUAUUGUGAUGGUAAUACGGAUGAUGAAUAUGCAAUUGUGCAAAGUGCGUCCGUUGCUGUAACUGACUCCUGCUUCGUAAAAAUUGUCAACGGCCGACUUGGUAUUCUUCGUUCUGCUGGGAUUCCUAAUGAAGUUUGAGACCUGGUGCCAUUGUUCUGUGCAUGAAGCAGUUUCACAUGGCCAAAGGUCUUGGGGCCACAUUUCUGAUGUCACAUAUGUUGGGCUUAUCAGUCUGGCAGUUUCAUACUUAUCUUUGCUCGUGAAGUUAACAGGUGAAAUAGUGGGUUGAUCUGAAUUCUUCUUUCGGAUAGGAAUGUUUAUGCUCAUAAAUGCAUGAUAAGCCAAGAACUCUUAUGUUCAUGUUUUCAAGAUUUUGAGGCAAUGCAUAUGCUUUUUGUUGAUUAGUUUUACAGGUCAUGAAAAAUUUCAGUUCUUAUAUCCUUAUUUGUGCAGCUCUGGAUUGUGGAAGCUUGAUUGUUCUUAUUUUCAAUUCAUUGGAAAAUAUUGGUUCAGAUAUAUUCGUCCCAUUAGUAUGCCCUUAUUGGAUUUACAUGCUCAGUAUUUGCUUUGAAAAUGUAACCCCAGGUAGGUAGCUUAAGUUGGGACAAUUUGUGCUGAAGUAAGCGUCUGAUUUUCAUAUUCCAUGGUGACACAUCUGUGGUGGCUAUAUUUGUAAUAUUCUCAAAGUAGUAUUUAAAUUUGUUUGGCAUUUUUUUUUUUGGGUUCAAGUUGUUUUCGACCAGCAGGACCUAGAACAAUUUUGAUUUUCAAUUUUAGCCUGCCAGUUUAUAAUAUUAGUCUUUCUUGUUGGAAACAUCUAGUUAGGUUAUUUUUUGAGUUUUGGGAAAUUUAGUUUUUUCCCUAGUAUGAUUAAUGUUGCAGCAAUCUGGGGUAUGGUACCUGUUAAUUGACUUCACCAGUUUGGAUCAGAAUCAGCUCGAAAUCAGGCAGAACCUUUGAAUUUUGCUUCUGGAUUAAGCAAAGAUUUUCCUUAGAUCUGAUCUAACUUUUUUGUGGUUAUGGAUUUUCCUUAGAUCUGAUCUAACUUUUUUGUAGUUAUGAGAUUCAAUUAACAUUGGAAUCUUUCUACAGGAUUCUAGAUUUGUAGAUUUUCUGCUGGUUUAUUGACUAAAAGAAACUACUUCAAAAAAUUGGAGUUUGAGCAUGAAUUAAUGGUCUUCGUUGAGAUUCUUUGUAAUUAAGGUUUUGAACCUAAAUGGUUUUUGGAUAUAUAUUCAUUGUAAAUGACAUUGCUUAUGAGACUAGGUUGGUCAGACUUGAAUAUCAUUUUUCAAGUGUCGUUCUGCCAGAAAGCAAACCAUUUUUUUGUGUAUAAUGAAAUUCAGAUUUUUAUUUUCUUAAAAUCUGGUGCAGCUUGUGUUUCCUAAAAACAUGUAUAUCAGUUUUUUGUUCAACUUCGUGAUUUGAGAAGUAGAGAAAGUGAUUUAAAAUCGAAAUUGUGAGCUUUGCAUAACCAGGUUGGAAUCACUCCAUCUAGAUAGUGAGAAGGGUUUGGUUGGGAUAGGUCGAGUGAAGUAUUUGGUAUUUCACAAUUUUUGUCUUUUCCACUUGUUUCUAGAAAUAGAAAAACAAGUUAAGACUUUUUCUCCGUUUCUGUAUGUAGACACAGAUUUAUAUUUUUGUUUCAAAAAACUAGUGAAAUGAAAUAGAAAAAUCAAAAAGUUUUGGGGGUGUUUUUAUGUGGAAAAACAAUUUCUGAAAACAAAAUCAAACAUGCCCUAAAUCUAAUGUCUUUUAGUUAUCAUUAUGAAAUUUUUUUUUUUAUGGUUCGAAAUUUUAUUUUUCCCUACAGAGCAAAAAUGAUUUUCCAUUCUCCUUUUUAACAUAUAUGCUGUGUAAUGUUCGAAAUAUAUGCAAGGUGUGGCUUGGUCUAAGGGGUAAGGUAUGAAUGUUGGUGCUUGGUGGUCAUGUGGUUUUAUGGUAAAAAUGUGGUAGUUUUUUUCUUAUGGGGGUCUAGCAUAUGCAAAAUUCUUGUGCUUCAGGCAUUAACAUUUUUAGUAUUCAAAAUGUAUGUAUAUAGAGUUGAGUAUCAUGGUGUAGUGGAGUUGGCAAGGGAACUAUGCCUUGGGAAGCUUGUGGUGUUGGGUUUGAUUAUACCUACCUUCUUGGGGCAAAACUGGCGUGGGGUAUUCUCCUUGGGACUUGGUGGUCAAGUUUUGUGGUAAAAGUUGAACGGUUCUCAAGCCCGUGUGAUAUGAUUCAUGCAAGUAAUCUGUGUGGGAUGAGUCAGGUUGAAGGUUAUCUUAUUAUUAGGAUUAAAAAAAAAAAAAAAAAAAAAAAGCUAUUCAGCUCUCAUAAAGACGCUAAAAGUGAUCUGGAGUAUUGUAGUACACGGUGUUCAAAAUUCCCUUGGGAAUUUAAUGAGGAAGAGUUGCUUGCUUUAAGUUUAAUUAAUUUUUGCAUUAAAUUUUUUUUUUUUUUACAAUUUUGAUAGGCUAAAUAAAAAUAGCAAUUGAAAGCUAAGGUAAUGGAUCUUUGGUAUGUCAUCUAUCAUCCCUUUGGGUUUGGAUGGCCACUUUUAUGAGAUCCUUGUAUUUUGGAUAUUUCAUCCGGAAAAGGGUUUGGGUUUUUUUUUUUUUUAAUAGAAAUUAUUGAAGGGUCUCUGUGUUGAUUAUAGUCUGUUUUUUAUUUGAUUCCAGGUAGUCUGCCAAUUCUAUUAGCUUAUUGGCAAACCAAUUUGUUCGUCAUAAUAUUGAUGGUUAAUUUAUUUUGCACAUAUGUUUGAUUUUUUUUUUUUCAUUUUGUUGUGCAUAUAAUCACACUCUUGAUUCUACCAAAAUAAUAACUCUUGAAAUGGCUCGAUUAUGCUAUUGAACUGUGGCUCCUUUAUUGGGAAUCUAGCUGCUGCAGUGGAGAUAUUUGCAACUUCUAUUCUCAUUUUUUUUCCCAAGGUGCUCUUUCAAAACUUAUGGUUUUAGUGAUCUGUCAUACCAAGUCGAUUGUGAUAGGCGGGUAUGUUAUGUGGGCUAGAUUAUGUGAGCAAGUCUUCCUAUGGUGAUUCCAUUUUCGGUUGUUUUGUUGAAGAAAGUAGUAGUCUCAAUUUGAGGUCAAUAUCUGUUGAUUGAGGCAAGUAAAGUCUUCUGAGCUCUGCUGGUAUGUUGUAUUUAUUGAACUUCUUGUAAGCUGGUAUGCUCUUGUAUGACCUGUUCAACUCACUAAACGGUAGAUGAUUUUUUAAAGCUUGUUCUGAAUGCUCAGGGUGAAAAGGCAUCUCUAUAUUGGAAGGAUGUUCUUCUUUUGGCCGUGUCUGGUUUGGUGUCCACAAUCUGGUGUAUAUGCCUUUAUGGUUCAUUAGGUUCAAAAUGCUGUGUUUAUGUAAUAGUAGAUGUUUCAUGAGAUGUUCACCAAAAUGCAUGAGAGAUAUAUAUGAAUAGCAAAUAAAAAUUUUGCUCAACUUGGCUCUUAACAAUGUUCUCAUUGGUGGCCGGCUGAGAAUACAUUUUGCAUUUUGAGAAUAAGAAUAUACAUUCUUAGAAUGGAUGAAGAUUCUAAACUGAGAAAUAUUGGAAUCAAAAGAAGUGUAUCGUUAACGCAGGUUGAAGUGAUUCUAUAGCCAAGUACAAUUAUAUCGGCAUUAGUGUAUUAAAAGUAGCCAAAUAAAACAACGACAAUUGUAGUUGGCUUCGGGAGGCUGAGGUGGUUCCUUGAUUUUUCAUGAUCUGGAGAAGGAAAGAUGUUUAUACGGGCAAAUGUAGAAUAUGAAGGAGAUGGAUUUGUUAUUUGUACACAUGGUUGUAUGGGUAAGAAUUCAACAAUUAUCCGAUGGCUAUAUCUGAUGGUAAAAGUACAGGUGUUGGAUGAUGAUCAUAUGUGCAUCUAAUGUUGAGUCUUCGGUUUCUAGGCCAAGAAAUUCGAACUUGACAUCUCGUGCACGACGUUUUUUGCACACCACAGCUCCUGUUACAUGCUAGACGUCUAUUAACAAAUUGGAAUUCAAUCCCAAUACGAGCCAUGAGUAAGGGAUGUAUUCGGAUAAGAGGUUUCUAGAUCAAGGAAUAGCGGUAUGCACGAGGCAUAAGGCAGAGGUUUCUAGAAAAGGUCAAGGGUCGAAGGUAAGAAGUUAGGUAUGGCACGGCAUCACGGGGAUCCUUCGGUGUAUGGCGUGUUUCAUAUGGGCGGCGGAAUUGCCGUUCGCGUGAGUACUACGCAUAGAAAAAUUUGUGUGAGGAAGGUCUUGCAUAAGGGCUAGAGGUUGAGAAAAGAAUCGGUGGAUGGAGCUGUCAAUCAUAGUUAUCAUGACACGUGUUGUUAAUCCAUCGGUUGUUCAAAAGUAGUUUCUUAUCAUCGAUACAAGGCAACGUCUUCUCCACGUAGGUCCAUCCUAAACCGUCGAUCUGAAACCACUUCUCCGUUAGUAUCCGUUCAUUCGUCUUAGGGUUUCUAUAAAUUAGGGUUCAGUGUCAUUGCAUUUUGUGCUUCGUUUUGUGUUCUUGUUUCUCGCCUUCUUCGUUCCUACCUACGUUCUGUUCAGACUUUAUUAGAUCUAUUUCUUUUCAGUUUCCUUCGUCAAUUUAUAUCUUUUAAUUUAUGAUCCUGCGUAGCAAUCGUUUACGGUAUUUGGAAAUCCGAUUUGUUGAUCCUAUGAUCGGUGGAGGUUAAGCGGAUCAAGGUCGAUCUAUGUGGAUCUGCAGAGCUUUUUUCUGGUGAUGUUUUAAGCCUUUAUUUAAUUUGGUUUUAGGAUUUUUUUUUUCUUUUCCUUUUUGAGCUUUGUUUUUGCAGGAUCUACCGUUUGGCGAGAGGAUUUAUUUUUCUGGAGCGUUUUCUGGACUUCGAAGGUCGUAGUAGAUGUGAUGGUGUUCGUGGUUCCUGUGAAUCUUUCGACUCUGGAUGAGUGGAUGCAGAUCCUUGAAGCCGGUUCCAGGUUUUGUGAAUCUUAUGUUGAUCGGUUGUGAAACAUUGUAAUUCACGGCGGAGCGAUAUGUUUAGUCGUUUACAAGAAUGGGGAGAGGUGAGGGACUAAGGGGGGUGGUGAGGUUGUUCAAAGAUGUAAAAGAGAUCGGGACAAGGCCCUGAGUGGUGCUAGGGCAUGUGUCGAAUCCUCUUUGUCAUCAGACCUUUGCCAUGUCGGGUGCGCUUGCAUGGCAGGUCAACAAAAGAUAAUAAAAUGCCUCUUUUGUGUUUUUUGGGGAGAUCGCACGGGGUUCUAGCCCGGGAUCUCUCCUCCGGUGUGUCGGCUCUCUUCUCUUUUUUACUUUUCCCGUUGCAUCCUGUCGCAUCUAGGCUCACCGACUAUUAACUCGGUGAUCAAACAGAAGCGCACAAUCGUCGUUAGUGAUCUCAAAGAGGAGCCGGCUGAUGAGUCCUAAUACGUAAGGAUCGUCCCCUCAACAUGGAGGUUGGAACUGAAAUUUUUAGAUCUCACAUCUGCAAUUAACUACUAAAAAAGAAAAAUCAUAUAUAAUGUAAUUUUAUUAUUGCAAUUCCUCGAUAUCAACAUGUGGCGCUAAUUACUGUAGCUUUCCUGAUCUAUUUGCAUAUUAGUUUUAUGGAAAAUUCUUGCUUUUGGUCAUUUAGUUAAUGAUUAUUUCAUUCUUGUAAACAUGAUCUUUUACCAUGCGAGUUGUAAAGGGAGUUGUUGCAUGCAAUGGAAGAAAAUUGUGAAGUUUGUUAUUGUAAUCACCUCCUCUGGCUGGAGGGAUGUAGGUGUCCCUAAGUUGUACAGAUUUGACAAUAUUUCAAUGACCUUCGUGAUGGUUGAGGGAAGAGUUCUAAACUCAAGGGACAUAUUACUGAUCUGUUGCUAUUUGGCUGUUUCUUAGUGGAGUUACAAUUGUCCGUGGCCAAGACGAUUUCCUUUCUAUUAGGUUGUUGCAGAACUUGGCUCCUCUAGAGGUUUUCGGCUUCGGAAUCAGAUACUGAUGAUGCUGGUAGAUUGAUGAUGGCUACUACGUGUGCUGACAUGGCUGAUUGGUUGAGAUUAUACAAGGUGAAUUUGAAAGGGAGGCUCUCUUUUAUAAUGAUGCAAGCUGCUGUUAGUCUUUUUAGUUUCUCUUAUUCUUGUGCUGCUCUUCAAAGAAAGUUUGAAAUUUUAGUAUGUUAAUUUCGGUCACAAAUUUGUCUUGGUAGUCUACUUUUUGUCUUGGUAGUCUACUUUAUGGGCAAUGGAAAUAUUUAGAUUUCAUCCCUUGUUAUGCUGUAGGGUAUUUCUGUUUUAUUACUGCAAUUGUUCUUUCAUUUUAAGAUUCUGGCUCCCAUUUGUUUCUGUAAUAACUUUACCUUGUUUUAUUAUGAUUUGUAAGGGUAACUGUUAUUUGAUGUAGCUAUGUACAUUCGAUCAUUCAUAAUAGAUGCUUUAGUUGAAGGUUGCACACCAACGGAUGGAGUUUGUAUCUAAGUUAUGGAUAGGAAAACUUUAGAGAUUCGUGAUUUCUCUGACAGCUUCAACCGGAAUUUAUUUUUUAUUUUUAUAUUUGGGUUGGUUGAAAUCUUAAUUGUAAACACUCUUCUAUUGAGGUAUAUUUUAUAUAUUUUUUUAGGGGUGGAAUGUAUGUGGGCUAUACUAACUAUUAUACGAGACUAGAAAACCAAGAUCGGUUGUUUCCCAUCACGAAAACACUUGUUGAAGAUAAUAAGACGUUACCCCCAAAGCUCCAAAGAGCCACACAUUUACAAAAAAAUUUAGGGCAACUUGAAAGGGAUAUAAGAUACGGAACCCAUGAAUAAAUCAAUCUUAACUCAUGAACAAAUCAAUCUUAACUAUGUGGCUGAUAGUAUUGCUUCAAUAUUUCAAGUAAGUACUGUGUUAUUUCUUAUGCUUCUCUCCUAGGAAAUGUUGUCGUUGAAAAUGGGUCUGUUACUGUUUCAAAAGUUUUUACCUUCGGCAUCCGUUUUGUUGCUUUUGAGUUGGAUUUCUAGUUGCCCAUCAGGAAAAUGAAUUUAAGCUUUUACUCUUGUUAUAUUUAUUUGUAUUUUUUUUAUUUAAAGCUUCAGUUCAAUUCCGGAUCUUGCAGUAGUCCCUGCUUUCCUAAUAUUUCAUCCCAUUUACAUAAAUUGGAUUAUAAACAUCUUGUUAUGGGUUAGUUACAAUGUAAUUUAAUGGUACCUAGGCUAAUUGUUCUUGGAAUUAUUUACUGUGUCCGUUAAUUCUAUCGUAAGCGAUGCCUGGUAGAAGUUUGCACGCGACCACCUGGAAAUUCAAAUCUGCAUGCGUAGAUAUCCUUUUAGGACUUUGAAUGGUGUAUCAAACUUUAGUUAAAAUGAUUUAUAUGCUAUGUUUCAUUUGCAAUUGGCAGAGUACCACGGCCUAAACCCUAGGCUCAUCGGUCAUCUUCCCUAUUUGGGUUUAACUCUAUCUGAUUAUUGAUCCUUGUAACUGCGCCCAUUUCGUAGAGACUACUUCCAACUAAAGAUAGUAGUCAUAGACCUAUGAAUUAGUAUUUGUAUACAUAACUGGAUUUCUAGAUGUUUCAAACCGUGCUUUGGUUGUUGCGAAAGGCAUGUUUGUGUGAACUAAACAAUUUGGCCCACGUAGAUUACUUGACGGUUUUUGGUAAUGAAUGAAUCAUUGCCCAGUUUUCAUUUCUUUUAAUUGUCAAUGUGAAAAUUUUCCCCCUAUUGUACGUAUUAUGAUGAUGAUAUUUUUUGUAAAUCUUUUUGGUGUCAUGGAUUUCUCCCUUUUAGUAAAAUAUGGAAGAAAUCAAUGUAACUGUUGUAUUUGUUUUCUUUCAAUGUACAAAAAAAACAAUUGAAAACUGUUUGUUUGGAAAACCAUAGAACCCUGUGAAGGCAAUGACUACUGAUCUUAUCUGGAGCUGAUCCUUAAGCUCAAAACUGGCAAGAGCACUCAUACCUAGUACAUUAGUACGGGUGAGAGAGGAUGGUGGUUCGAAUCCACCAGGAUCAUCCUACAAUGAUGAAUGUUUAUUUAGUUCUGCUAGUAGGAAUGUAACAUGCAUGUUUUAUACUUGUUGUAAAUAUUUCAAGUUGAAGGAAAUUCUUUUUGGUUUUCUGUUUUGUGGAAGGGAUGAUGGGAUGAAAUAAUCGGUUUGAUUAUAUUAUAUUAUUACCUAUGGGCGAUAGGGUUAUCAGAGAAGCAGCUUGGAAGGAAGGGGACACAAACUAGCAAAAAGGUAGAAGGAAUUUUUGCAGACCUGUUAGCUAAGAAUGCUAGAAGGGGAAAUUGUUGUAUAGAAAAUUUUUGUAUAUGCCUGGUACUCUUACUGAUGUUAUUUAUGUACUACGGUAAUGAAAUCCCCAGUGCCAGGGCACUAGUUUCAAUUCACAUGGGAAUCUUUGUUGUUUCCUGAUUUGAUCUGUCUUGGCAACUUGAAGAGACGAGAGGAAGGACGGAGCAGAAGAAGAAGAAGAAAAGAGAGAAAUGGUACGCGUUUGGCCAGAUUCAAAUUGCCCUGCUCCGAUUCUCAUCUGAAUAAAUGGUAUAGAUGAUGUUUAAGAGUCGAGUUUUAUAGGGGGUUUGAGUCUAGAAAUUGAAUUCUUCAAGAGAGUGAGUUUUUUAAGAGUCGGCAUAAGUUCAACUGAGAGAAGUGAAGAUCCAACUGAAUCCAAGAGGUAGAAUGUGGGUGCAAGGACUAGGGGAGGAGCCAAUGAAGAGUGAAUGGGAAAAGAAAUGUGUAGGAGGGGUGUGAAGGGGAAUUAUGUUUGGGUAUCAAUUCACAAUAGUGGCAUGGUGGCACUCUUUUUUCUUGAUUCUCAAUAAAAGAUGGAUCACACUAUGUUCAUAAUCA